ACAAUGACUCUCGGCAAUGGAUAUCUCGACCCUCGCAUUGAUAAAGAACGUAGAAAAAUGUGAUACGUGGUGUGAAUUGYAGAAUCCYRUGAACCAUUGAGUCUUUGAAUGCAAGCUGCGCCUGAGGCCUUUUGGAUGAGGGCAUGCCUGCCUGGGCAUCACGC
rnacentral:rRNA from 1 species